UCGACUGUUUAUCAAAAACAUAUUUAAUAAUAUUAAGUAUUAAUAUAGCCUGCUCAAUGAAAAUUAAAUACCCGCAGUUCAUACUGUGCUAACGUAACAUAAUCAUUUGUCUUCUAAUUAAAGACUAGAAUGAAAGGUUUCGAAUUUGAAUUAAUAUAUUUAAUCUUGAUUUUAAAAUUAUUAUAAAUGUAAAAAAAAAUUGUAAAUUAGAAAACUGAAAAGACAAUAUCGAACUGAAUUUUAGUUUAACUGGGACAGUUCAUUAAUAAUAAUUUUAAUUCUAAAUUAAAAGCAAAUGAUCUGAUAUAAUCAAUUUAAUGAUCAUGUUCCCGUAGGAAUAACGGUGUAAUAAUUUUCUAUAGAUCUUAUGUAAAAAAAGGUUGUGACCUCGAUGUUGAAUUAAUCACUCUACUAAAUGAACAAUUUAGUAAGAAAGUCUGUGUAACUUUUAAACAAUUAAAUGAUUUUAGUUCAGAUCGGUAUAAUCCAGGUCGGUUUCUAUCUU
rnacentral:rRNA from 1 species